rnacentral:rRNA from 1 species
AUUGAACGCUGGCGGCAUGCUUUACACAUGCAAGUCGGACGGCAGCACAGAGAAGCUUGCUUCUUGGGUGGCGAGUGGCGAACGGGUGAGUAACAUAUCGGAACGUACCGAGCAGUGGGGGAUAACUAAUCGAAAGAUUAGCUAAUACCGCAUAUUUUCUGAGGAAGAAAGCAGGGGACCUUUGGGCCUUGCGCUGUUUGAGCGGCCGUUAUCUGAUUAGCUAGUUGGUGGGGUAAAGGCCUACCAAGGCGACGAUCAGUAGCGGGUCUGAGAGGAUGAUCCGCCACACUGGGACUGAGACACGGCCCAGACUCCUACGGGAGGCAGCAGUGGGGAAUUUUGGACAAUGGGCGCAAGCCUGAUCCAGCCAUGCCGCGUGUCUGAAGAAGGCCUUCGGGUUGUAAAGGACUUUUGUCAGGGAAGAAAAGGGCGGGGUUAAUACCCCUGUCUGAUGACGGUACCUGAAGAAUAAGCACCGGCUAACUACGUG